ACUCAGCAGGCAGCUGCCCUACGCUGGGUAUGCAGCUGCUCAGUGCAAGGGCGAGGUCCGACCCCAGGUCUCGGGCUCCAGGCCUGUGGUGGAGUGCAGCAACAAAGACCUCCAUUCUGGGGUGUACGGGGGCUCGGUGCAUGAGGCCAUGACUGAUCUCAUUUUGCUGAUGGGCUCUUUGGUGGACAAGAGGGGGAACAUCCUGAUCCCCGGCAUUAACGAGGCUGUGGCUGCCGUCACGGAAGAGGAGCACAAGCUGUACGACGACAUCGACUUUGACAUAGAGGAGUUUGCCAAGGACGUGGGGGCGCAGAUCCUCCUGCACAGCAACAAGAAAGACAUCCUCAUGCACCGAUGGCGGUACCCGUCUCUCUCCCUCCACGGCAUCGAAGGUGCCUUCUCUGGGUCAGGGGCCAAGACCGUGAUUCCCAGGAAGGUGGUUGGCAAGUUCUCCAUCAGGCUCGUGCCGAACAUGACUCCUGAAGUCGUCAGCGAGCAGGUCACAAGCUACCUAACUAAGAAGUUUGCUGAACUGCGCAGCCCCAACGAGUUCAAAGUG
rnacentral:sRNA from 1 species